GAUGAAGAACGUAGCAAAAUGCGAUAAGUAAUGUGAAUUGCAGAAUUCAGUGAAUCAUCGAAUCUUUGAACGCACAUUGCGCCCGCUGGUAUUCCGGCGGGCAUGCCUGUUCGAGCGUCAUUUCAACCCUCAAGCCCCCGGGUUUGGUGUUGGGGAUCGGCUCUGCCUUCUGGGCGGUGCCGCCCCCGAAAUACAUUGGCGGUCUCGCUGCAGCCUCCAUUGCGUAGUAGCUAACACCUCGCAACUGGAACGCGGCGCGGCCAUGCCGUAAAACCCCAACUUCUGAAUGUUGACCUCGGAUCAGGUAGGAAUACCCGCUGAACUUAAGCAUAUCAAUAAGCGGAGGA
rnacentral:misc_RNA from 1 species